GUAUUGUAUUAAACAGAGAGGUGUUUGUUAUUGUUAACACUGAAAACAAAAAGUAGCAGCAGACAAAAUCAUCAUCAUGUGUGGAGCGAUGAGGAGACUGCAUGUGACAUGAAACAAACAGAAAUGCUAUAUUAUAUUCACUGCAUUCAUUUGUUUGGUUUUUGCUGAUUCUCUGGACAUUUGGUUAAAAUUUGUACUACUUUUGGAUGGAAACUUGUGCAGUUUUGUCAGAAUAACGAUAAAACAAGUUUGUUCCUUGAACGUUGUGAUGAACUUGUUUGUGUGUUAGUGUUAAAGUCCCCGGUGCAGGACCUGAGGUGUCCUCGAGGCCUGCAGGAGCCCGACUUCCUGGACCUCCUGAGGUCCACCUUCCCUCGGCUGACCGGACAGUUUGAUGCCUUCAGGUGCAACCAGGAAACUGAUGCCACUGAAACUACAGAAGCUGACACCAGAGGAGAUUCAAAGGUCCAUCAAAUCCGCAGGGAAAGGAAGAUCAGCCCUGUAUAUCCGAGCAAAGACAGCAAAGAAAUCCUUGAAGAGCAAAGAGCAACUUCCUUCUUCGCAGAGAAAAGACGAAGCCACCAGCGACACGAGAAAU